GACGUAGGGCGCGAGCGUUGUCCGGAUUUAUUGGGCGUAAAGAGCUCGUAGGCGGCUUGUCGCGUCGACUGUGAAAUCCCGAGGCUCAACUUCGGGCUUGCAGUCGAUACGGGCAGGCUAGAGUUCGGUAGGGGAGAGUGGAAUUCCUGGUGUAGCGGUGGAAUGCGCAGAUAUCAGGAAGAACACCCGUGGCGAAGGCGGGUCUCUGGGCAGUAACUGACGCUGAGGAGCGAAAGCGUGGGGAGCGAACAGG
rnacentral:rRNA from 1 species